AAUGGGAUUGCUGGGUCAAAUGGUGGUUCCAUUCCUAGUCUUCUGAGGAAUCUCCAUCUGCUUUCCGUAGUGGUUUUACCCAUUUGCCAUCCCAACAGCAAU
rnacentral:pre_miRNA from 1 species